AAAGCUGCAAAAAAGAGACUGUCUGUGAGCAAGGAACCAUGAAGAGCUGCCUCCUUUCCCUUUUCCUAGUCUUCUGAGAACCUAAAAGCUAGUUUUUUCCUCCAUCUCAGCUACCACGUAUGCGAAAGCCACAGAGAAGGUGCACCAUUUUCCUGGGAGCUCAUCUAGCCAUCCCUGCCCCAAGCCAUGGCCUCACAGAGGUGUGGAUUUCCCCAGCUCGAUGCAACACUGCUCUGACACAUGUGAUGCCUUCAAACUCCAAAGCAUCUCAUCCUGAGAGAACUGCCCAGUCAUCCCAAGAAUCAGCUCUAAACCCACGGUCACCUUGCCCAGUAGAUCUUACCCUAAUGCUUUUAUGCUUCAGAGCCAGGGAAUGAAUCCAGGACUCGGGCUUUAAUAUAACAAAAAGAAUCAUCGAAAAGUUGUCAUCAGACUUACCUUGCUCAGAUACAAGGACAAGGUCUCAGAAGUGUCAGUGAGCGAAUGAGGUGUGCUGGGAUGGGAGAGCUUUUAUACGCUUGCGAGCGGAGGUCUGGGGAAUACGACAGCCCUUGGCAAUGCCCAGCUAAUUUUUUAAUUUCCUAAACACAUGUCUCUGUCUGUCCCUCUUCCGGCAUCCACACUUUGACUCAUCCUUUGUGCUACAAUAACUUAAUCCUAAGGCUGAUUAAGAGCAAAGGGAUCUUCCCGUGGCACGUGAGAUGACGGGAGUGCACAGAGGUGUGUCUAGCAGUGCUAAUUGUGCCGCUGUGGCAUGCCAUGCCCGUUGACGACCCGCAUUGAGCCAGUGGAGGGAACGUUUGCAAGUGACACGUGUUGACUUGGAGCAGUGUGCUAAGCCUUUGGAGCAGGCAGAGCUCAAGGUCUUUUUUAAUAUCAUAAGGCAGUGUAAUUACAUGGUGCAUUUCAUUCGCAUGCCAUUGACCUUUGGGUGCUGUGCCCAGGGGCUCCCUAUGAGGACACGUCAGAGCUAAGAACAGAAUUAAGCAGGUCCCAAUUUCCAGUUUUAUACUUGAUGUUCGACACAACUCUGCUGCGGAGAGCAGCUGCUGGUCUACUGUUGAAGUGGCUGGUUCUCCUCCAGGUUUGCAAGGCUGUACCAGGGGAGGGAUCUGCACAUCCUAGAAGCCUGAAGGGUUCAGAGUGUGGGGAUGUGGGAUUUCCAUGUGGCCUAAGGUAGGGCUGCUGUAGCCUUGGCAUGUCAAAUCCCACCAAAGAGGGACUGAAUUCCAGUAUAAAAAUAUUAAUAACUCAGAGGGUUACAGAGUCGUCAGGACAUGGGACCUGGACUCUGGAAAUUCUUCGUUCUAUUUUGGGCUCAGACAAUCCUUCAUGGGGGCUUUGCCCCUAAACAAGACUGCUUGACUGCCCUGUCCCCAAAUGCCAUGCAAAUGAGCUGUAGCUGGAAAUCACCUUCCCAUGUGACAUAGCAAAAACAAUUCUAGGCCACAACGUGCCCGGAGACCAAAGCCUGCUGCUGGGAGGCAAAUGUGGAAAUAUCUUUUGAACAUUAUCAUUAUUCAUUAAUUAGCAAUGUGCUAAGAUUAUCAUGGACCAGAAUGCAUGUCAAGGAGCAAAGUGGGACGAAGGAUCCAGAAGACACACGUGGGCCCCGGCAUGUGAAGAAUGAAGGCCGUAUCGUCAGCAGGUGUCUCAUUUCCUGCAGAACGGGCUGCACCGGGAUAAAAGGGCCCCAGUGGCAGUGCUCCUCAUUCACUCACUGCUGCUCCUUUGCACCAGGCCUUCUUCCCAAACAAGCUUUGCCUACGCCAGAAAGAUGUGCUCCCACGGGUCCUGCCACAACCGCCACAGGUCCUGCCAUGGCUCCAGCUCUCACUGCCACGAGUCCAGACCCUCCUGCAAUAUUGUUGUGGUAGAGAAACCAUACUGCUGCCCUGUGCCACGCUACUGUCCACCCGUGUCCUGCUGCUACCCACGCUACCAGUAUUCACAGUGCUGCAAGUUCCCACAGUACCCCAAGUACCCACAGUACCCCAAGUAGGAAACACGGCUCCAGGAAGACCUUCAUGUUCUACUCGUCCCAUUAUGGAGGUGGUCCCAGUGCCUACUGGUCAUCUGGUCUUGUUUCACAGAUUGUAAUUUCCUGUUUUCUUUCAUCUUUGAUUGUCUGUAACCUGCCCUGAAGAUGUGCCCACUGUGUAAGUGUGAUGAAACCUUUACUAAGGAUCAUUUCUCUUCUCAUUCAUUGUUCUCCUGUUGGAUAAAAGAGUAAUAAUAAAACUUAUUAUUCAAGGAA